CCCUUAGAUGUUCUGGGCCGCACACGCGCUACACUGAAGGAGGCAGCGUGUACUCCUGGAUCGAAAGAUUUGGGUAACCCGCGAAUCUCCUUCGUGCUAGGGAUUGAGGUUCGCAAUUAUCCUUCAUGAACGAGGAAUUCCCAGUAAGUGCAAGUCAUAAGCUUGCGCUGACUACGUCCCUGCCCUUUGUACACACCGCCCGUCGCUACUACCGAUUGAAUGAUUUAGUGAGGACUUCGGACUGGGACCGAUGCGGCUUUCGGGCUGCGUCGGUAUUCUGGAAAGAUGUCCAAACUGUAUCAUUUAGAGGAAGUAAAAGUCGUAACA
rnacentral:rRNA from 1 species